UGGGGAAUAUUGCACAAUGGGGGAAACCCUGAUGCAGCAACGCCGCGUGCGGGAUGACGGCCUUCGGGUUGUAAACCGCUUUCAGCCAUGACGAAGCUUUUGUGACGGUAGUGGCAGAAGAAGCACCGGCUAACUACGUGCCAGCAGCCGCGGUGAUACGUAGGGUGCGAGCGUUGUCCGGAAUUAUUGGGCGUAAAGAGCUUGUAGGCGGUUUGUCGCGUCGUAAGUGUAAACUCAGUGCUUAACGCUGAGCCUGCUUUCGAUACGGGCUGACUAGAGGAAGGUAGGGGAGAAUGGAAUUCCCGGUGGAGCGGUGGAAUGCGCAGAUAUCGGGAGGAACACCAGUGGCGAAGGCGGUUCUCUGGACCUUUCCUGACGCUGAGAAGCGAAAGCGUGGGUAGCAAACAGG
rnacentral:rRNA from 1 species